AACGAACGCUGGCGGCAUGCCUAACACAUGCAAGUCGAACGAGAUCUUCGGGUCUAGUGGCGCACGGGUGCGUAACGCGUGGGAAUCUGCCCCUUGGUUCGGAAUAACAGUUGGAAACGACUGCUAAUACCGGAUGAUGACGAAAGUCCAAAGAUUUAUCGCCAGAGGAUGAGCCCGCGUAGGAUUAGCUAGUUGGUGUGGUAAAGGCGCACCAAGGCGACGAUCCUUAGCUGGUCUGAGAGGAUGAUCAGCCACACUGGGACUGAGACACGGCCCAGAGUACUACGGGAGGCAGCAUUGGGGAAUAAUGGACAAUGGGCGAAAGCGUGAUCCAGCAAUGCUGCGUGAGUGAUGAAGGCCUUAGGGUUGUAAAGCUCUUUUACCCGGGAUGAUAAUGACAGUACCGGGAGAAUAAGCUCCGGCUAACUCCGUGCCAGCCGCCGCCGUAA
rnacentral:rRNA from 1 species